GUGAGGAGGCCGUAUCUCCUGCGGAGUGAUGGUGGAAUCUGCCGCGAAGUGUACGACCUCCCCUCAC
ncrna:Ornithorhynchus anatinus (platypus) microRNA oan-mir-1421i precursor (oan-mir-1421i-2, oan-mir-1421i-3)